AUGCUUACCUGGCAGGGGAGAUACUAUACCAGGAUCACGCAGGUGGUUCACCCAGGGUGAGGCCCAGCUAUUGCACUGCGGCUGUGCAGACCCCUGCAAAUUCCCCAAAUGUGGGAAUCUCCACUGCAUCAUUUCUGGUAGUAAGGGACUGCGUUCUCACUCUCCCCUG
ensembl:snRNA U1 U1 spliceosomal RNA